rnacentral:sRNA from 1 species
CCCCGUUUGACCCUAUUUUCAGUAUAUCCCCAAAGAUUUAAAGAAAAAAAAAAACUUUUAAAACCUCUUAUACACACCUUGAUCUUUUUGUGGCAGGUCUCUCACCUGAGCUGGCUAGAAAAAAAAACUGCUACAGCCUUGCUUGAAAGCCCUCUCAGUGCCACUGUGGAAGAUGCCCUCCAGAGCUUCCUAAAGGUAUGAGAGGGGCAGGUGGCAGGCAAAAACACCAGGGUAACCUUGUUUUUUCCUAAGGACAUUAUUGAGACCCUUAAUGGGAGGGGUUUUCCUAGUAGGGGGCAAUUUUGUGUUUGCCUGUUCUAUGGGAAAAUCAGAAUCACUUGCACAGCUUAUCAAAAAUAUAGGUUUCUUCAGACCCACUGAAUCAGCCACAUGGUUGGGGACUAGAAAUCUAGUUUAAUAAACUUCAGCCUGAUUAGAAUAUAGGAACCUCUUACUAAAAUAUCUUUGUCCCUUUUCCCAGGCUGAAGAACUACAGCCAGGAUUUUCCAAAGCAGGAAGGGUAUAUAUUUCCAAGGUAAACUCAUUUGUCUACUUCAACAUAGAUCUGGGAACUCCUGAAAGUACACAGUAUCAGGUUUCACUGUUGUCUCUUUUCAGUGCUACAGAGAACUAGGGAAAAACUCUGAAGCUAGAUGGUGGAUGAAGUUGGCCCUGGAGCUGCCAGAUGUCACGAAGGAGGAUUUGGCUAUCCAGAAGGACCUGGAAGAACUGGAAGUCAUUUUACGAGACUAACCACGUUUCACUGGCCUUCAUGACUUGAUGCCACUAUUUAAGGUGGGGGGGCGGGGAGGCUUUUUUCCUUAGACCUUGCUGAGAUCAGGAAACCACACACAAAUCUGUCUCCUGGGUCUGACUGCUACCCACUACCACUCCCCAUUAGUUAAUUUAUUCUAACCUCUAACCUAAUCUAGAAUUGGGGCAGUACUCAUGGCUUCGG